rnacentral:rRNA from 1 species
CCGGCACGGGUGAGUAACACGUAUCCAACCUGCCGUCUACUCUUGGACAGCCUUCUGAAAGGAAAGAUUAAUACAAGAUGGCAUCAUGAGUCCGCAUGUUCACAUGAUUAAAGGUGUUCCGGUAGACGAUGGGGAUGCGUUCCAUUAGAUAGUAGGCGGGGUAACGGCCCACCUAGUCUUCGAUGGAUAGGGGUUCUGAGAGGAAGGUCCCCCACAUUGGAACUGAGACACGGUCCAA